UACGUAGGUGGCAAGCGUUGUCCGGAAUUAUUGGGCGUAAAGCGCGCGCAGGUGGUUCCUUAAGUCUGAUGUGAAAGCCCACGGCUCAACCGUGGAGGGUCAUUGGAAACUGGGGGACUUGAGUGCAGAAGAGGAAAGUGGAAUUCCUGGUGUAGCGGUGAAAUGCGCAGAUAUCAGGAAGAACACCCGUGGCGAAGGCGGCUUUCUGGGACGGUACUGACGCUGAGACGCGAAAGCGUGGGGAGCGAACAGG
rnacentral:rRNA from 1 species